rnacentral:rRNA from 1 species
GACGAACCGUGCGAACGUUGUUCGGAAUCACUGGGCUUAAAGGGCGCGUAGGCGGCUUGCCAAGUCAGUGGUGAAAUCCCACAGCUUAACUGUGGAAGUGCCUUUGAUACUGGCGAGCUCGAGGGAGGUAGGGGUAUGUGGAACUUCUGGUGGAGCGGUGAAAUGCGUUGAUAUCAGAAGGAGCGCCGGUGGCGAAAGCGACGUACUGGACCUCUUCUGACGCUGAGGCGCGAAAGCUAGGGGAGCAAACGGG